rnacentral:rRNA from 1 species
GACGAACGCUGGCGGUGUGCUUAACACAUGCAAGUGGUGCGACGAACCAGAGCUUGCUCUGGGGCAAAGCCGCGAACGGGUGAGUAACACGUGGGUAAUCUACCCCGAUGACCGGGACAACCCGAGGAAACUCGGGCUAAUACCUGAUGUGGUGCGGAGACAUAAGUCUCUUCACUAAAGGUAGCUUCGGCUUCCGCAUUGGGAGGGGCCCGCGGCCCAUUAGCUUGUUGGUGGGGUCAAGGCCUACCAAGGCAACGAUGGGUAGCUGGUCUGAGAGGACGAUCAGCCACACUGGGACUGAGACACGGCCCAGACUCCUACGGGAGGCAGCAGUGGGGAAUCUUGCGCAAUGCGCGAAAGCGUGACGCAGCAACACCGCGUGAGGGAAGAAGGCCUUAGGGUUGUAAACCUCUUUCAGAUGGGACGAAGGUUCUCCGGUGAAUAGCCGAGAGGAUUGACGGUACCGUCAGAAGAAGCUCCGGCUAACUACGUG